AUACCACUACACACUCCUCCACCCCCUGGCGUUUCUCCUGAAAGCAAAACACCUUCGCGGUUCAGGCCACCACGUAAGAAAGCAUACUAAGUAGAAGACCUCAACUGGGGCCUGGGAAACUGGAGGAACUCUGCCCAGUUUGGUGGAACAAGGCAUGUCCCUGCGAUGCCUGGAUAAAUGAUAUAAAAGGAGGAAGAAACAGAAGGAAGAAUAAAUGCACAGAACAUCUUGACAGUGUGACCUGCAUAUAUGCCUUCCUUUCAAUAGACAGAGAGACACACAGAUCCAGACACAGAAAAGCCAGAUGCCAGUGAGCCAGUUCCCAGAUGGAGGGUAGAAAGUCCUACAACUAUUUCCACUCCGGAUGUGACCCCAGAUGGCCCCUCUGUGAACAGAAAGGACCCAAGAUGGCCCUUUCAUGAAUGGAAGGGACCUCAGAGGAGGAGAAGGAACUUCAUGGGCGUCCCCAAGGCAAUGCUGCAGUGAAUCUCCUCUUACCAGCCUACUUUUAUACAUGUGAUAUAGUUUCCCUACAUUACAGGAUGCCAAGUUCCCUGGGACUUGAUUUCAGUAAUUAAAACUUUCUCAAAAAGUG